AACGCACGAGACCUGCGGACCUGCGGAGGGAUCAUUACAGAGUUUUCUAACUCCCAAACCCAUGUGAACUUACCAUUGUUGCCUCGGCGGAGCCUACCCUGUAGCUACCCUAUAAGGUGGUUACCCUGUAGCGCCCCGCCGGUGGAUUUUCAAACUCUUGUUAUUUUUAGUAAUCUGAGAGUCUUAUUUUAAAUAAGUCAAAACUUUCAACAACGGAUCUCUAGAUCGGAAGAGCACACG
rnacentral:misc_RNA from 1 species